UUGGAGGGCAAGUCUGGUGCCAGCAGCCGCGGUAAUUCCAGCUCCAAUAGCGUAUAUUAAAGUUGUUGCAGUUAAAAAGCUCGUAGUUGAAUUUCGGGACCAAUUUGUUGGUCGUGCCUCGGUACGUACUGGUAUUAUUGGUUUCUCCCUUCUGAAGAACCUUGAUGUCAUUAAUUUGGUGUCUUGGGGAAUCAGGACUGUUACUUUGAAAAAAUUAGAGUGUUUAAAGCAGGC
rnacentral:rRNA from 2 species